rnacentral:sRNA from 1 species
AAAUUAAAAUGUUUGAACAGUUGGAUUUCAAACAUUUUGAUUUUGUGGAGUGGUGCUUACCAAAGUGGUACAGCCCUAAGCAAGUGAAC